rnacentral:tmRNA from 1 species
GGGGAUGACCGGUUUCGACGGGGGAAGGUGGUCCCGGAUUGCGAGUCGAGAGGUGCCGAUCUCGUCAAAUCAGCACAAAAAAAUUAAGUGCCAAACGCACAAACUUCCAAGCUCUUCCUUUAGCUGCAUAAGCUAUUGAAUGAGCGAUGCCUCAUAAGAGGCACGUCCGCCUGGACCGUUCUUCGACCGGGUCAGAAUCGGGCGACAAAAUGUCGAAGUGCUGCACAAGUUGUCACGCCUUGUGUUUUAAGAGGGCUUUCGGGUCUGAGUGACUCGCCACUGUAGUUUGGUUGGUUUUUUUUACAAGUGGUUAAACAUAAAUGCCAACUACACUCGUAGAUAUCCGAGGGGUAUCUCUUUCGGACGCGGGUUCGACUCCCGCCAUCUCCACCA